rnacentral:rRNA from 1 species
UCUCUAAGAUCUUACUUAGAGUAAGACCUGCUCCAUGACACAAAUAGCCGCAGUCAACUGUGCUAAGGUAGCAUAAUCAUUAGCCCUCUAAUUAGGGGAUAGAAUGAAAGGUCAAACGAGAGAACCAGUGUCUCGCACAAUUAUCUUUAAUUUACUUUGCGAGUAAGAAAGCUCACAAAUCUAGUAAGACGACAAGACCCUGACGAACUAAACAUUUGACUGGGGCGGUAACUCAAACACACCUUAAGCCUCUACUUCACACAACCUCUAUCAGAGACAGGACAAGUUACCACAGGGAUAACAGCGCCACCUUCUUCCAGAGUCCUUAUCCAAAAGAAGAACUACGACCUCGAUGUUGAAUUAACUAUACUCCUACUAGAAGCAAAAUUCUCGAGCAGU